ACGUAGGUGGCAAGCGUUGUCCGGAAUUACUGGGUGUAAAGGGAGCGCAGGCGGACUGGUAAGUUGAAUGUGAAAACUAUGGGCUCAACCCAUAGAUUGCGUUCAAAACUACUGGUCUUGAGUGAUGUAGAGGUAGGCGGAAUUCCCGGUGUAGCGGUGGAAUGCGUAGAUAUCGGGAGGAACACCAGUGGCGAAGGCGGCCUACUGGGCAUCUACUGACGCUGAGGCUCGAAAGUAUGGGGAGCAAACAGGAUUAGAUACCCUGGUAGU
rnacentral:rRNA from 1 species